UGCCCAGCUGCACUCCGCAGACACCCACCCAGCCCAAGCUUCCACCAGCCGGUCGAGGGCGGGGUGGGCACCUCCCUUUCUCAGCAGUUCUCUGAUGGCUCCUCACUUUUGGUCUUCUGUUCGUUCCUCAGACAUCUGGUAUCCCACCAAGGAGACCUGAUCUUGAGCCUGGAGCCCCGAACCGAUGCUUGAGUGAGUUGAGCA
rnacentral:lncRNA from 13 species